rnacentral:rRNA from 1 species
AACGAACGCUGGCGGCAUGCCUAACACAUGCAAGUCGAACGAGACCUUCGGGUCUAGUGGCGCACGGGUGCGUAACGCGUGGGAACCUGCCCUUAGGUUCGGAAUAACUCCCCGAAAGGGGUGCUAAUACCGGAUAAUGUCUUCGGACCAAAGAUUUAUCGCCUUUGGAUGGGCCCGCGUUGGAUUAGCCAGUUGGUAGGGUAAAAGCCUACCAAGGCGACGAUCCAUAGCUGGUCUGAGAGGAUGAUCAGCCACACUGGGACUGAGACACGGCCCAGACUCCUACGGGAGGCAGCAGUGGGGAAUAUUGGACAAUGGGCGAAAGCCUGAUCCCGCAAUGCCGCGUGAGUGAUGAAGGCCUUAGGGUUGUAAAGCUCUUUUACCCGGGAUGAUAAUGACAGUACCGGGAGAAUAAGCUCCGGCUAACUCCGUG